UCGCUUCAGCAGCACAUAUACUAAAACUGGAAUGAUAUAGAGAAGAUUAGCAUGGCCCCUGCGUAAGGAUGACACGCAAAUUUGUGAAGCAUUCCAUAUUUUU
rnacentral:snRNA from 1 species